GACGAACGCUGGCGGCGUGCUUAACACAUGCAAGUCGAGCGGUAAGGCCCCUCGGGGUACGACGAGCGGCGAACGGGUGAGUAACACGUGGGUGGACCUGCCCUCCAGCUCUGGGAUAAGCCUGGGAAACUGGGUCUAAUACCGGAGUAUGACUCCAUGACGCAUGUCGUGGGGUGGAAAGCCUUGUGCGGCUGGGGAUGGCCCGCGGCCUAUCAGCUUGUUGGUGGGGUGAUGGCCUACCAAGGC
rnacentral:rRNA from 1 species